rnacentral:rRNA from 1 species
CAAUAGCGUAUAUUAAAGUUGUUGCGGUUAAAAAGCUCGUAGUUGGAGUUCUGCCAGGUGCCGCCUGUCCGCCCCAGUGGUGAGUACGUGGCGCGCAUUUGGCCCUUUCAAGGGGAGCGUAUCUGCACUUUAUUGUGUGGUGCGGGAUCCUUGACUUUUACUUUGAGGAAAUAGGAGUGUUCCAAGCAGGCUCUCGUCGUGCACAGCUCAGCAUGGAAUAAUAGCAUUGGACCUCGAUUCUAAGCUGUUGGUUGCCAGAAGCGAGGUAAUGAUGAAGAGGGAUAGUUGGGGGCAUUCGUAUUUAACUGUCAGAGGUGAAAUUCUUGGAUUCGUUAAAGACGGACUACUGCGAAAGCAUCUGCCAUGGAUGUUUUCAUUGA